rnacentral:rRNA from 1 species
AUUGAACGCUGGCGGCAUGCUUUACACAUGCAAGUCGAACGGUAACAGGCCGCAAGGUGCUGACGAGUGGCGAACGGGUGAGUAAUGCAUCGGAACGUGCCCAGUCGUGGGGGAUAACGCAGCGAAAGCUGCGCUAAUACCGCAUACGAUCUAUGGAUGAAAGCGGGGGACCGUAAGGCCUCGCGCGAUUGGAGCGGCCGAUGUCAGAUUAGGUAGUUGGUGGGGUAAAGGCUCACCAAGCCGACGAUCUGUAGCUGGUCUGAGAGGACGACCAGCCACACUGGGACUGAGACACGGCCCAGACUCCUACGGGAGGCAGCAGUGGGGAAUUUUGGACAAUGGGCGCAAGCCUGAUCCAGCAAUGCCGCGUGCAGGAAGAAGGCCUUCGGGUUGUAAACUGCUUUUGUACGGAACGAAACGGUCUGGAUUAAUACCCUGGGCUAAUGACGGUACCGUAAGAAUAAGCACCGGCUAACUUCGUGCCAGCCGCCGCGGUAAAAC